GUAAGCUUCAAGAGCACAUAUACUAAAACUGGAACAAGGCAGAAAAGUUUAGUAUGGCCCCUGCACAGGAUGACACAAAAAUUUGUGAAGUAUUUUCUAUCGAG
ensembl:snRNA U6 U6 spliceosomal RNA